GAUGAAGAACGUAGCGAAAUGCGAUAAGUAAUGCGAAUUGCAGAAUUUCCGUGAGUCAUCGAAUCUUUGAACGCACAUUGCGCCCAUUGGUAUUCCGAUGGGCAUGCCUGUUCGAGCGUCAUUAUCUUCCCUCAAACCUCGCGUUUGGUGUUGGGCCGUGCUGGUUCCUGCGUGACCAACUGGUCUAAAAGACAAUGACGGCGUCCGUGGGACCCUCGGUGCAACGAGCUUUUAGGAGCACGCGCCGAGUUGCAAGGACCUUCCGGGCCGGUCUCCUUUUACUAUUUUACAAGGUUGACCUCGGAUCAGGUAGGAAUACCCGCUGAACUUAAGCAUAUCAAUAAGCGGAGGA
rnacentral:misc_RNA from 1 species